CGCAGGCGGUCUUGUCCGUCAGGUGUGAAAGCUCGGGGCUCAACCCCGGAAGUGCACUUGAAACAGCAAGACUUGAAUACAGGAGAGGAGAGAGGAAUUCCUGGUGUAGAGGUGAAAUUCGUAGAUAUCAGGAGGAACACCGAUGGCGAAGGCAUCUCUCUGGACCGAUAUUGACGCUGAGGCGCGAAGGCGUGGGUAGCGAACG
rnacentral:rRNA from 1 species